UACGUAGGUGACAAGCGUUGUCCGGAUUUACUGGGCGUAAAGAGCGCGCAGGCGGUCGAUCAAGUCGAGUGUGAAAGCCCCCGGCUCAACUGGGGAGGGUCAUUCGAUACUGAUCGACUCGAAGGCAGGAGAGGGUAGUGGAAUUCCCGGUGUAGUGGUGAAAUUCGUAGAUAUCGGGAGGAACACCAGUGGCGAAGGCGGCGACCUGGGCAGAUACUGACACUGAGGUGCGAAAGCGUGGGGAGCAAACAGG
rnacentral:rRNA from 1 species